rnacentral:rRNA from 1 species
AAGCAAACAGUAUAAGAUAACCUGGAAGUCAAUGACGUAAACGUAUGCCACUAGGUGUGGGGGCCAUUCCACGGUUUCCGCGCCGCAGCUAACGCAUUAAGUGCCCCGCCGGGGGAGUACGGCCGCAAGGCUAAAACUCAAAGGAAUUGACGGGGGCCCGCACAAGCGGCGGAGCAUGCGGAGUAAUUCGAUGCAACGCGAAGAACCUUACCAAGGCUUGACAUGUGACGGAC